GAGAGUCCAAACAUCAAAGCCAUUUCGCCUACCAUAUAACCCAACACCAAAUACAAUAAGCCUCCCAAAAGAUCCUCUUGAUUUAACCAACCAUGCCUUGGUUUCUUAUAUAGUUUUCUGAGUCUCUGCAGAUCUCUAGUUUAUUGAUUAGGGACAGCUGUCAACCACUCAUUUACUUAGAUGUUGUGAUUUGUCCAAUUUAUUUCAGAAAAGGCUGCAUUCAGAAUGGAAAAAUGGAAACAGUAUUUAGGGGUAUUCCAGCACGCUGAAAUAAUGAGUAUACAAGAUAUGACAAAAAUAUUGAGCUUGACAUAUGGCCUGGGGGGUAUUGCAUAAGAGUAGAAUUAAGAAAGCCAGGAUAACAGAACAAUCGCGGCUUGACCUAGUUUAAUCAGUGCAUCCUGGCUCAAUCCGUUGCACGUUUGCUAAACCAGGAUGAGACCGCGCGGAUAUGUCAAACCAGGUGUAUAUAGUUUGGAUAAAUGCCCGUUCACGGCAUUCUUAAAAAGAUCACGAAAUCGAUCACAGAAUCACCGAUGGAAAAAUGGAAAUCACCCGUGCGGCAUACUUUUCACCAACUGAACAACAGCUUCUUAUGGAAACUUAUGAAGAAGUAAAGCAUAUAAUAUGUAAAAAAAUGCAAUACAGCUGCCGUAAUAAAGCAAAGAGAGAAUGCCUGGCAAACAAUAGCGGACCGAUUGAAUGCAACAAACAUGUCUGGCCAAAAAGGACUUGGCAGCAAGUCAAGAUUAAAUACAAGAAUAUUUUGCAGGCUGGUAAAUGACUUGUUUGCGGAGAACAUAGGUGACAUGUUUGCUGACAUUUUAUUGUCUGUGCUGAUUUUAGCAAUAAAAAAAAGUCAUAUAUCUGGUACAGGGGGUGGCCAUACAACCCAAGACUUCACCACAGCAGAGGAGCUGGCCCUGGACUUAAAUACAGGGAAGCCAGUGAUUGAAGGGAUCCAGGGAGGGACAGCCACUGACUCUGGCCCAGCAAGGGAUACUGGCCUCUUCAUACAAUAUUGAAAUCCAUAUAUUUUAUGUGGACUGUGUGACUUUGCUUUACCUUGCAGUGGCUGGUAAUACCCUUACACUUUUGGAGCCACCAGACUAUGAUUCGCCAGUGAGUACUCUUUAUUAAAUCAUAGGCUUUGCAUGUCCUGCCAAAAAUAUCAAUACAAGUAUUGAAUAUGGCAGAGGGAAGCCACAUCUACAGCAGUGGACUGCACUUCUGCUGAUGAUGAGACCGUGUCACUGGACUCCAGAAGGCUCGAGGUAUCAUGUCAAUUUUGUGGAAAGACAAAACAUUUUAAGUUCAUGAUAAGAAGUCAGGGAAGUGGUACUAAUAGAAAAUAUCAUUUGUUACAGGAUCCUGACAUUGGGCAGCCUGAUAAGGUGCCUAGUAACAUAGUGAGUAUUGCCUAAAGUAGAUUUACAUUUUGCAAAAAUUCUGCUGUGCUAACUAAAAGUUGUUCACAGAAUUCACAAACAGUUAGAUAUCUCUACACAACGCAUCUUAAGAGACCGAUCAAGCUGACCGAAGUCAAGAUUGAUGUAAACAAAAGAAAGCUGCAGCAGGACAUGGACCUUGAGAUGCAAAUUAAACUCAAGACACUGAGGAAACUAGAACUGGAAAUCCAGAAACUAGAAAGAGAAGUAAGUGACUUAAGUUCAAACUGUAACCAUGACUGUAACACAAUGUAGUAAUCAUCAUUUUCUCUCCAAAGCUCCAAGCUGACCAGUGAUAACAGCAAAAUAAUAGAAAUAUUCAAAAAUUGUGGUCUUGUAACUUUUUUUAUGACGGUCAUGUACACUUUAUAGUUAUUGAUCCAGUGAAGUGGAACUAGAAUUUGGGAAAAUAACCACAGUGUGUGCUACCAAUGCCAAAUAAAAUGCAUGUACACAUGAAAAAGUUAUAUAACCUACAUUAUCCUUUAUUAAGGGAUGGGCUGAAUCAAAAUGAAAUUCAAUAAAAUAAUUUGCAAUGUAUUGUUCUCUAACAAGUCUACCAUUUCUGUUAUCUGGGAAUAUGGCAGCAUUGUCCCAAUCAACAUCCAAAGCAACUCUGGGAGCCCUUUCUUUUCUUAGGCUGGCAAUAUUGUGCAGCACAGUGCAGGCAACAGUCACGUCACAUGCUCUGUCUGGGGAGACCCAUGAUUUCAGGAGGCCAAAGGUCAUUUCAAUUCGAGCCCUUGUUUGGGCAUGGUUGUAUGCUUGCUGUGCUGGGGUUUGGGGGUCUGUAAGGGGAGUCAUCAGAAAUGUCUCACAGGCAUAGCCUUGGUCCCCCAGCAGCACACCAGAGAACUCACCUGUGAAUACAAAACAUAAUUCUUACAAGUACUGUACUCUUGAUGUUCAAGGUGCUUUAAAAAAAUGGGGUGGCUUACCUAGAGAGAGUCUCUGGUAAAUUCUACUGGUCCGAAAACUUCUGGAGUCAUGGACUGAGCCAGGCCACUUUGCCUCUAAAUUUGUGAUAAGGCAGUCACCAUCACAGAUCAUCUGUAAAAAUAUAUAGUCUAUUAAGGUCCUUUAAUGCAAUAAUUAUGUAGCUGACAGUAACCAUAUCCCAUUCUUACCUGAACAUUGACACUGUGGAAGGAUUUCCUGUUAACAUAAUCUCCCUCAUGUGCCCCUGAGGGGCGUUGGAUACGAAUAUGGGUGCAAUCCACUGUACCAAUUACAUUAGGAAAUGCUGUAACACAAAAUAAUGAGUGUCAUACUGUGACUGUGCUAAGGUAACAUUUUGUGGUAAUCUGUUAUUCGUGUUACUUGCAAUCUUGUAGAACUCCUCCUUGAUGUGGAUGAAUCUUCUGUGAUCAGGGAAGGUGAUAAAUAUGUGCACAAGAGAUUUCAAUGCCAGACUUACAUUUCUUAUUGUGCGGCAAAUAGUGGCUUUAGAGGUUUUCUGCAUCACCGACAGAAUACAGAAACAUGCCACUUGCAAAGAAUCGCAGUGCUACGCAGACCAUCUGUGGGACAGUGAGAGCAUGGCUCCAUGCUGUCCUGUGCUGUAUGCUUGGACCCAGCAGCCUACACAAAUAUCUGAUGCCAUCACCUGAGAAUCUGUACCUCUCAGUCAGAUAUCCGUCUGAAAAGGCCAAUGGGUCUGCCCUAUCUCGGAAGACUCUUUCAUGCCAGAAUGCUCGUCUGAGUGUUAAAACUUCCUCAUCAACUACAUCAUCCAACAAAGGGCAAGCCAUUGUGAAUAGGCAACACACAAAUCUUUAGUCUCUAUAUACUACAUAUUGACCUCGUUACGGACUUAAUUGAAACCACAUUUGCAAGUUCAUGAGCCAUUUCUUAUUAUCUCAUCAACUGCAAUAAAAUAUAAUAUAUGGAUAUUUUUCUCAUUCAACAGUACAUUUCUACUCAAUAUUUGCAUAGAUAUAUAUUCAUCAAACCUCUGAUAGUGAAAUGAACAGCAGUUUUCAAUAAUAAUUAAAAUAACAGUAUGCAUACUUAGAUGAAUGACAGAAUAUCUAGUAUUUCAUUGCAGGACCAUGAAGUGACUAAAACACAUUGAUAUCUAGUAGGAUUUAGGGAGGAACUAGCCGAUAAAUCACUAGGAUUAAUCUUAGCCUGGUUGUUAGCCUGCUCUGGAGCAGGCUAGCUGCAAAGUGAAAAUCUCCAUAGUAACUUAAUGUAGAUUGAAAUUAGCCUUCCUUCAUGCAACCGAGUCAAGGCUAAAUUAAUCCCUUAUCUUGCUUUUGUGCAAUAUCCCUCCGAUCAUAAAACUACAAUCAAAGCACAUCUGCUACCUACUAGGUUUAGUUGAUCUUAGUCUGUCCAAGUGAAAAAAGCCGGCGCUUCUCCGCCAAUCAAAUGUUGCCCUCACUAUGGCUUGUUCUUUGUUGGACCAUCUAAAUGACAUUACAGUUUGCAUUGUUCAUAGCAUUGCAAAGGGAAAAGAAAUUGCAACAAAAAUAGAUUCUUCAAAUCAUUCAGAAUAUGUUAUUGUAUAUAAUUAUUUUAAUCAAUCAAAUAUUUGACCAACUUUCUAAAUCAUUCCAUAGUUCACUUAACCAAGGUUCUGCUUUGACCACUUUAUGAACAAGUUAAUUCUAUAGUGCAAUGCUGCUCAGUACAACAAAGCAUUUCAUCAGAAUAAUUGCAAACCAGGUCAGUCAAAUAAAUGUCAUGUGUGCAAAUUACAGUGGCUAUCAAAAUUAUUCACCACUUGGACCUUUCCACAUUUUGUGAUACAUGAAAUCAAAAUUGAUUUAAUUAGGAUUUUUGGACAUGGAACCCAAAAAAGUCCCUAAUGUCAAAGUGAAAAAUUAAAUCAACAAAUAUAUCAAUUAAUUACAGAAUGAAUAACAAAUACAAAAGAGAAAAUGUUUGAUUGCAUACGUAUUCACCCCUUUAGUCCAUUUUUAGAAGAGGCUCCUUUGGCAGCAAUUAAUGCCUGUUAAUGAGUUAAUAACUGCCACUGUAAUUGCUUAGUAAAUGCCUGUUUCAUCACAAUUAGGGUGUUUUAGAAUAACUAAGUUGAUGAAUAUAAUCAUGUUUACUCAAUAUAUAUAUUUAAAAUAUAUUUGAGUAGUCUGUCAGCCAUAGCAGAGAUGGGCUAACUAAUGUCAAUGUAAUCCUGCAUAUGGUAGGUUGAUGUAAAAAUGAAUAAAGAAUGAAACAAGAAAAUACA